UACGGAGGGGGCUAGCGUUGUUCGGAAUUACUGGGCGUAAAGCGCACGUAGGCGGUCGUGUAAGUCGGAUGUGAAAGCCCUGGGCUCAACCCAGGAAGUGCAUCCGAUACUGCACGACUUGAGUCCCGGAGAGGGUGGUGGAAUUCCUGGUGUAGAGGUGAAAUUCGUAGAUAUCAGGAGGAACACCGGUGGCGAAGGCGACCACCUGGACGGAGACUGACGCUGAGGUGCGAAAGCGUGGGGAGCAAACAGG
rnacentral:rRNA from 1 species